GAUGAGCGCUAGCGAUAGGCUUAACACAUGCAAGUCGAGGGGCAGCACGAAUUAGCAAUAGUUUGGUGGCGACCGGCGCACGGGUGCGUAACACGUAUACAACCUACCUUCAAUUGGGGGAUAACCUGGAGAAAUUCGGACUAAUAUCCCAUAGUAAACGGAAGAGGCAUCUUUUUUGUUUUAAAGAUUUAUUGAUUGGAGAUGGGUAUGCGUAGGAUUAGCUAGUUGGUAAGGUAACGGCUUACCAAGGCGACGAUCCUUAGGGGUUCUGAGGGGAAGGUCCCCCACACUGGUACUGAGACACGGACCAGACUCCUACGGGAGGCAGCAGUGAGGAAUAUUGGUCAAUGGUCGAGAGACUGAACCAGCCAAGUCGCGUGAAGGAAGACGGCUCUAUGAGUUGUAAACUUCUUUUGUACAGGAGUAAAGUGAGACACGUGUGUUUUAUUGCAAGUACUGUACGAAUAAGCAUCGGCUAACUCCGUGCCAGCAGCCGCGGUAAUACGGAGGAUGCAAGCGUUAUCCGGAUUUAUUGGGUUUAAAGGGUGCGUAGGCGGUAUUACAAGUCAGGGGUGAAAUCUUGGUGCUUAACAUUAAAAUUGCCUUUGAAACUGUGGUACUUGAGUGUAAAAGAGGUAGGCGGAAUGUGUUGUGUAGCGGUGAAAUGCAUAGAUAUAACACAGAACCCCGAUUGCGAAGGCAGCUUACUAUCAUACAACUGACGCUGAUGCACGAAAGCGUGGGGAUCAAACAGG
rnacentral:rRNA from 1 species